GAGUUUGAUCCUGGCUCAGAUUGAACGCUAGCGGGAUGCUUUACAUAUGCAAGUCGAACGGCAGCGCGAACUUCGGUUUGGCGGCGAGUGGCGAACGGGUGAGUAAUAUAUCGGAACGUACCCAGUAGCGGGGGAUAACUACUCGAAAGAGUAGCUAAUACCGCAUACGCCCUACGGGGGAAAGGGGGGGAUCGCAAGACCUCUCACUAUUGGAGCGGCCGAUAUCGGAUUAGCUAGUUGGUGGGGUAAAGGCUCACCAAGGCGACGAUCCGUAGCUGGUUUGAGAGGACGACCAGCCACACUGGGACUGAGACACGGCCCAGACUCCUACGGGAGGCAGCAGUGGGGGAUUUUGGACAAUGGGGGAAACCCUGAUCCAGCCAUCCCGCGUGUGCGAUGAAGGCCUUCGGGUUGUAAAGCACUUUUGGCAGGAAAGAAAUCGCAUGGGUUAAUAACCUGUGUGGAUGACGGUACCUGCAGAAUAAACACCGGCUAACUACGUGCCAGCAGCCGCGGUAAUACGUAG
rnacentral:rRNA from 1 species